GUGGGGAAUAUUCCGCAAUGGACGAAAGUCUGACGGAGCAACGCCGCGUGAGUGAUGAAGGUUUUCGGACUGUAAAGCUCUGUUGUUUAGGACGAAAGUGCCUGUUGCGAACAGUUACAGGUAUUGACGGUACUAAACGAGGAAGCCACGGCUAACUACGUGCCAGCAGCCGCGGUAAUACGUAGGUGGCAAGCGUUGUCCGGAAUUAUUGGGCGUAAAGAGCAUGUAGGCGGAGAUUUAAGUCUGUUGUGAAAAUGCGGGGCUCAACCCCGUAUUGCGAUGGAAACUGAAUUUCUGGAGUGCAGGAGAGGAAAGGGGAAUUCCCAGUGUAGCGGUGAAAUGCGUAGAUAUUGGGAGGAACACCAGUGGCGAAGGCGACCACCUGGACUGAUACUGACACUGAGGUGCGAAAGCGUGGGGAGCAAACAGGAUUAGAAACCCUGGUAGUCC
rnacentral:rRNA from 1 species